rnacentral:tRNA from 1 species
CAGAUUGUAGCUUAUAGUAUAAAGUUUAUUUUUUACAUAAAUAUGAAAAUGAGUUCAUUUUAUCUGA